rnacentral:rRNA from 1 species
AUUGAACGCUGGCGGCAGGCCUAACACAUGCAAGUCGAGCGGAUGAAGGGAGCUUGCUCCUGGAUUCAGCGGCGGACGGGUGAGUAAUGCCUAGGAAUCUGCCUGGUAGUGGGGGAUAACGUCCGGAAACGGGCGCUAAUACCGCAUACGUCCUGAGGGAGAAAGUGGGGGAUCUUCGGACCUCACGCUAUCAGAUGAGCCUAGGUCGGAUUAGCUAGUUGGUGGGGUAAAGGCCUACCAAGGCGACGAUCCGUAACUGGUCUGAGAGGAUGAUCAGUCACACUGGAACUGAGACACGGUCCAGACUCCUACGGGAGGCAGCAGUGGGGAAUAUUGGACAAUGGGCGAAAGCCUGAUCCAGCCAUGCCGCGUGUGUGAAGAAGGUCUUCGGAUUGUAAAGCACUUUAAGUUGGGAGGAAGGCAGUAAGUUAAUACCUUGCUGUUUUGACGUUACCAACAGAAUAAGCACCGGCUAACUUCGUG